UACUAGAGUAGCACUCGCAUAUCAAUAAGCGGAGGAAAAGAAACUAACAAGGAUUCCCCUAGUAACGGCGAGUGAAGCGGGAAGAGCUCAAAUUUGAAAUCUUAAAGGGUUUCCCUUUACGAAUUGUAGUUUAAAGAAGUGUUUUCUGUUGAGGUUUUGGUAAAAGUUCUUUGGAAUAGGACAUCAUAGAGGGUGAGAAUCCCGUAUUUGACCUUUACUUUCAACUUUGUGAUACACUUUCAAAGAGUCGGAUUGUUUGGGAAUGCAGUCCAAAAUGGGUGGUAAAUUUCAUCUAAAGCUAAAUAUUGGCGAGAGACCGAUAGCGAACAAGUACCGUGAGGGAAAGAUGAAAAGAACUUUGAAAAGAGAGUUAAACAGUACGUGAAAUUGUCAAAAGGGAAGCGUUUGACACCAGUGUUGUUUUUCUGAAAAUCAAUUAAAGAACUGUUUAUGCUAAGCUGUUUAGACUUUAUCAGCUAUCUGUUUAGUUUUGAGCUUUUCUUUAAUGCACUUUUCAGUUAACAAGAUCAACAUCAAUUUCUUUUGCUGUAAAAAAGCUUGAGGAAGGUGGCUUGAGAUUCGUCUUAAGUGUUUAUAGCCUCUUGCCUAUGCAGUCGGAGAGAUUGAGGUCUGCAGCGUAGAUCCUUCGGGGCUAAAUGCAUUUGUGCUAAGUUAUAGCAUUUUAUAGACAACUUGUUGACUAUGAUUUGUCUUGUAGCUUACUCGCUUAUGUUAUUUUACCUACGCUUAGGAUGUUGAGCGCAUGUCUCUCUCU
rnacentral:rRNA from 1 species